rnacentral:lncRNA from 10 species
GCGCGCCGGGCGGGGGGCGGGCGUCCGGGCUGGCCUGCGGUGUUCUCCCGCCCCCGCCCCGGGCUGGCGCGCCCCGACGCAUCUCCUAGGGGCACCGGGGCUCUCCGCCGAGCUCCGGGCAGGUCCUGAGUUCCCUCGCGCAUGCAUGCAGCCAUUCGUUCCACAGCCAUGACUGGGCACCUACUGUGUGCCAGGCCCUCAGUGAUUUCAUGCCUAGGGAAGGCAAGAAGUCGGCGCCCAAAGAAACUUUGAAAUGAGGAGUCUUGCACGACGGGUGCGCGGUUGAGCUGAGGUCCCGCUGACUUCCAGUCCAGUGCUCGUCCCUUGGCACUAGUUCUGGGAAUACAGUGAAGACCUUGACUUUGUGGAGCUUAUUGUAUGGAGGAGAAGCAAAAUAGCGUCAUUGAUAUCUGCUUCUAAGAUGACCAGGUAACUAGAGCUCCAUCCUGAAAAAUGAGGAGUGUGGUAGGUGCGUAGACUGUUUUAAUGGCUCAAGUUCUUUGCUCCUCUCUGUAGCCAUGUUCUUUGCUAUGUGACUUUGCAGUUCCUUCCACUGGAGGUAGAUGGACUUCCCCCUGCUUGACUUUGGGCUUGGCCUUGUGACUUGCUUUGGCCAAUGGGAUGUUAGAUGUGAGGCAAUUAGAGGCUUGAAAUAUGCUUGUGGGGUUAAGCUUAUAUUUCUGCUUCUGACAUAAAAGACUGCCCAGUAAACCAUUGGUCCCAGAAGAAUGAGAAAAAAUGUGAAGUAGAACCAAACUGCAAAUAACGUUGUUGUUUUAAGACACUAAAUUUUUCGGGUGGUUUGUAAUGCAGCAUUAUUGGGGCCAGAGCUGGCAGAUACAAGAGGUUUUUUUUUUUGACAGAGUCUCACUCUAUAUUGUCUGGGCUGAAGUGCAAUGGUGCCGUCACUGCUCACUGCAGCCUCAACCUUCCGGGGCCAAGCUGUCUUCCUACUUCAGCCUACUGAGUAGCUGGGACUACAGGCACAUGCCACUAUGCCUAGCUAAUUUUUGAAAUUUUUUUGUAGAGAUGGGGUUUCACCAUGUUGCCCAGGCUGGUCUUGAACUCCCAGGCUCAAGCAAUCUGCCCACCUCAGCCUCACAAAGUGCUGGGAUUAUAGAUAUGAGCCACCAUGCCUAGCACAAGAAACUUUAAUUCCAUCCUCCAUGAGAUCUACCUGCUGUGCCUGCAUUGGAGUUGCUGCUCCAGAGGUACUGGGCUACUGCUGAGCGCAGGGGGGGUCUUAUACUUCUCCAUACAAGAAACACUAUCUUAAUAUAGCCAUUUACAUCAUCACCUGAGAAGCCUGAGUUUGUCUUUUCCUUGCAGCCCGAAAGAGCCCAACUGUGUUAAUCCAUUUUGUGUUGCUAUAAAGGAAUACCUGAGACUGGGUAAUUUAUAAAGAAAAAAGGUUUUUUGGCUCAUGGUUCUGCAGGCUGUACAAGAAACAUGAUGCCAGCAUCUGUUCAGCUUCUGGUGAGGGUCUCAGGAAGGCUUCACUUAUGGCAGAAGGGAAGAGGAGACCAUGUGUCACACGGCAAGAGAGGGAGUAAGCAAGAGAAGAGGGGUACCAUGCCCUUUUUAGCAACCAGCUCUUAGGUGAACCAAUAGAGUGAAAACCCACUCGUUACCUUGGAGAAGGCACCAAGCCAUUCAUGAGGUAUCCACUCCCAUGACCCAGACAUCUCCCACUGGGCCCAACCUCCAACAAUCAGGAUCAAAUUUCAACAUGAGAUUUCAGGGGACACGUAUCCAAACUGUAUCACUAAUGAAGACAAUGUCUGCCCUGUCUAUCACAAAGUCCUAGAGGGAUGGGUUUGCUCUUGAUUACUAUACCGGCACAGAACCUGCUGGGGUGUCCAGUGCACUCCACUAGCUGUGAAACCAGAUGUCACUCCUGUCAAAAUUAGUAAAUUUAAUGAAGCCAUCUGUCCUAGGUCCACUCUUGGAAGAUCCCUUUCCAUGCAAGAGGCUAUUACUAAUUCAACUGAUAAACCAACCCACUCAUUCACUCGUGAUGAUAGGAAGAUGGUCUGCCAGACACCGGGAUACAAAGGCCAAUUAGACAUGGCUGAUCCAUUCCUUAUAAAGAUCAUAGGCUAAUAGAAGGGACAGAUAAACUAUUAUAAGGUGGUGAGAUAAAAAUUAAAGAAGUACGAGUACGAUACUGAGGGAGUGGAGACUAAUCCUGUCUGGUGGGUUAGAGAAGCUUUCAAGGACAAGAUGAUACUUGAAAUGGGUUUGACAGGCAGGGAGGAGUUGACCAGCUACAGAAAGGGGAGAACAUUCUUGGAAGAAGGUGAACAAGCAUAUACAUUUAAGAUCCAUGGUGAGGGUGUAAGGGUGUGUGUAGGGGGAUGGUGGGAAGUGGUAGAAAAUGAGGUGGAAACUCAGGCAUAGCCAGGUGUACACAGCUUGUAUACUACAACCAGGAGUCUGGACUUGGUUCCAAGGGCACUGGGGAGCAUUGAAGAUUGUAAGAAGGGGAGUAACACAUUUGUAUUUUGCUUAUUUAAAAGACCAUCGGGCAACAAUGAUUGUGGAGAAGGCAAAGACUCUUGCUAGGUCAUUGCACUAAUAAAAGGGAACAAUGAAGACCACCUGGCAGGCUGGUGGAAAACAAGAGAAGUGAAGGGAUGGGAGAGGUAGACCUGGUUACUGAAGAAUGGGAGAGCUCCCAGGUUUCUACUUAAACUACUGGGCAGAUGGUGACACCAUUCAUUUAGGUUAGGGGACUUGCGAGGUGAGCAGGGAUGGAAUAGGGGUCCUCUUAGGCACAUGUGGAUAGGAGGGAACUGUGGGGCCUCCAAGCAUAUAUUCCGUAGGCAGCUGAAUACUCAGAACUCAGGAGACAUAGGUAUUCGGGUGUCAUAGUGUGUAGAUAGUGGUUGAAGCCAUGGGUUUGAUUUGUUACUUUGCCUGGCCAUAGCUGGUGCUUGCAGAGGCACUGAAAAGUCAUCCUCACAUGUUGAGGAUGAUCUUUGGAGCC